AAGAAUUCCAUGUGUUAAUCAUUGAAUUCUGAUUCUUGAGCAUGGAUGCAUUCCACAGAUCAUUCUGGUCUCCCUGGAGUCCUUGUACAUUGUCAACUGAGCAUCAUCGUUUGAAUAAAUCAGCAUAGGCUUGCAUAUGGUAGAAUAUAAGAUAAAUCCUGAAAUCUCUGUGGUGUAACACAGCACCGUGUUAUUACUCACCUGUGUGAAGUUCAGUCUAGAUUGGGUGGCCCUCCUUAAUCUUGUAACUACACCCUCUGCUCCAGGGGGAUUUCAGGGUCACUGCUAAAAGGGAAAAGAGAGAUUGAGGAGGCACAUUGGCUUUGACUGUUUUAGCCCAGAAGUAGCAUCAUCCUUUGGCCAGAACUGAUCACAUGGCCCCAGUAUACUGCAGAGAGGGGAGGAAAUGUAGGAUGCUCGAGGGAUGUUUGGUGAGCACCAACCAACUUUCUCUGCCACAUCGUUCUUACCACAAAAUAUUUGUAACUUGGAAGACUAGUGAGUGAUCUCCAUUCUUUCUGCAAAUCUUACUGACCGACAUGCUCGGGACCUGUUGGCACACGCUCGGCUAGUGGUUACUCCUGAGGUCCGCUCAUUCACUCUGUUCCCACCCCUCCAGCUGUGUGUUCUCCAGGGUGCCAGCUACAGAAGUCCUAUAUCUGCUGCUCUGAGGCCACUGCUGAGCCAUGGGGUGAGUUUUUUUGCAGCGGCACAGCGCUCAGAGUGGAGCAGGCCCCCGCUGAAUUGAUGUUGUCCCUAUGACAGUGUGCCGCCCACUGUGACAGGCAGUGCCAAUGCAGAGACGAGAAGACUCAGACCCUGCUGGAGAUGUGGAGGGGAAGACAGACAAGAAAACCAGAAUGACAGCAGGCCUGGGGGGUCCACGAGGAGCCAGCCCCCAGCACAGAGGCACCUGGAUGCUGAGACACGGGGACAAUCUGCUUCGUCGUGUGUGUUCUCAUUGUCUAACCGGAGAUUGUCUCUUGCUUUCCAGCCUGAAUAAAUACAAAAC
rnacentral:lncRNA from 1 species